rnacentral:snRNA from 1 species
AUAGUUACCUGGUGCCGGGACCUCGAUCACCAAGGACGAGCCCCCAGGGCGAGGUGCGGGCAUUGCAUUGCCCUCGCGUUAACCCCUGCUACUAACCCAAGCGGGGUAGACUGGGCAGGCAAAUUGCUUAAAUCCGGUUUAAGCCAGAGGGCGCCACCACC